rnacentral:lncRNA from 1 species
GCCAAUUCCAAAGAUGUUUCAGGAACCUAGUUUGUGCUUAGGGGCAGCAUUUUGGUAAUUAGAACGCCUGUUCUACACAAGUGGAACUUAUUAGGGGGAGUACUUUCAGCGGUUUAAGCAGGUCCCUGAAGUCUGGCCCCACCCUCAGCCUGAGUCAGAUACAGCCGCUCCUGAAAACAGGCUGGCAUCAAGGUCUUCAGCUCAAGAGGCACUAUACCUGAAGAACUUCAUCUGACAUGAAUCUGAUAUAGAUCAUGAGAUUCUGGGCCUUGAGCCUGAGCCUAACUCUGUAAUGAAAGAAGAUUUUUGAGGAGCGAAGAGAUGUAUGAUAGAAUAGUCACAGGUGAAAUAUUCAAGAUACAAGUUGUUUUCUGCAAUAUAUUCUCCUUUCUUCUGCCAUCUGUGUUGCCUUGGAGAAGUCAACUCUCAGUCUAACUGAGGUUCUUUUGUAAGCAAUAUUGAUUUUUUUUCUCUCAUUGUUUUUGAUACAACAAGAUAUUCUCAUUGACUUUAAUAUAAUAAAGUUUCUCUACAAUUAGUCCUGCUUAGAAUA